rnacentral:rRNA from 1 species
UACGGAGGGUGCAAGCGUUGUCCGGAUUUAUUGGGUUUAAAGGGUGCGUAGGCGGCUUAUUAAGUCAGGGGUGAAAGACUGCAGCUCAACUGUAGCAGUGCCUUUGAUACUGAUGAGCUUGAGUACAGAUGAGGCCGGCGGAAUGGGUGGUGUAGCGGUGAAAUGCAUAGAUACCAUCCAGAACACCGAUUGCGAAGGCAGCCGGCUAAACUACAACUGACGCUGAGGCACGAAAGCGUGGGGAUCCAACAGG